rnacentral:rRNA from 1 species
AUUGAACGCUGGCGGCAGGCCUAACACAUGCAAGUCGAACGAGUGGCGGAAGGGUUAGUAAUGUCUGGGCAACUGCCUGGUGGAGGGGGAUCACUACUGGAAACGGUAGCUACUACCGCAUUCCAUCAGAUAUGCCCAGAUGGGAUUAGCUCGUUGGUGGGGUAACGGCUCACCAAGGCGACGAUCCCUAGCGGGUCUGAGAGGAUGACCAGCCACACGGGAACUGAGACACGGUCCAGACUCCUACGGGAGGCAGCAGUGGGGAAUAUUGGACAAUGGGCGAAAGCCUGAUGCAGCCAUGCCGCGUGUAGGAAGAAGGCCUUCGGGUGGUAAAGUACUUUAAGCGGGGAGGCGUUACCCGCAGAAGAAGCACCGGCUAACUCCGUGCCAGCAGCCGCGGUAAUAC